CAUAAACAAAGUUUGUUAAUUUAGAAGUGAUGAUUGGUUCAAUUUAGAAGUUUUAAUCUAAUUUAAGAUCAGUGUCAUAUUCUCACAUUUUACGAUCUCGACUCCCCAUACCAAUCCUAAGGAAAAUCUCUGUUUUGACUUGCAGCAGUGUAGCACAUAACUGAGACUUGCUUUGGCUAGUAGUUGUGAAUGAGUCAUUUGCUUAUAAAGCAAUUCUUACAAAAAUCCCUCUGCAAAGUGAGGAUUUAAGUAAGAUUGCCCUUAUAUUAGAAGAUAUAGUAGCAGGCAUGUUGACAUCCAGUGCAACAGUUUUAUUGAAAUAUGAUCUUCCGUACUGUUAUUUAUCCCGCAUAGGAAGCUCCUUUGUUGAAUUGACUAUGGGAUACAACUUGAGGAACACGACCAUGGCUGAGAUCUGCACUGCAAGCAGAAGAGAUAAUCAAGAAGCAUGGUGUUGCUCUUGGCAAGAAAUGACACUAGGCUAAAAAACCACCAAUCAGUAAUGUUACAACCCAAUAUCAACUGGGGUAAUUGAGAUAAAUUAGUUUAAUGUCACAAUUUAUCUGAGGUUUAUAUUUCAUAUCUUUUGGUUUUUGAAGAGUUGUGGAUGCAACUAUUGUCCUUAAGAUUUUGAGGUCAAACAGGGAAUAUGCUGCACAUUUCAUGGCAGUCAUUCCAGUUCUGGACAUGAAUCAUAAUGUUUGAUUUAAUAUUUAAUUUUUUAGGUUCUUAGAAUAAUUCAGUUUAUAGUUGUUCCUAGAAUUAUGAAAAAUAUUUAUGCUUAGAUAUAGAUAUGAGGUGUGAAACUAGCCUGAGGAGCUUGGCUUCUUCAUAUUAAAAUAGUUUUAAUUGGAUUUUUAAGGGACCAGAUAUUGAUUUUUGUGAAUAAUAUUUUUUUUAAGAAGCUUUUGUCAAUGAAA